AGAGUUUGAUUAUGGCUCAGGAUGAACGCUGGCGGCGUGCUUAACACAUGCAAGUCGAACGAAACACCUUAUUUGAUUUUCUUCGGAACUGAAGAUUUGGUGAUUGAGUGGCGGACGGGUGAGUAACGCGUGGGUAACCUGCCCUGUACAGGGGGAUAACAGUUAGAAAUGACUGCUAAUACCGCAUAAGACCACAGCACCGCAUGGUGCAGGGGUAAAAACUCCGGUGGUACAGGAUGGACCCGCGUCUGAUUAGCUGGUUGGUGAGGUAACGGCUCACCAAGGCGACGAUCAGUAGCCGGCUUGAGAGAGUGAACGGCCACAUUGGGACUGAGACACGGCCCAA
rnacentral:rRNA from 1 species